rnacentral:rRNA from 1 species
UACGGAGGGUGCAAGCGUUGUCCGGAUUUAUUGGGUUUAAAGGGUGCGUAGGUGGCCUUGUAAGUCCGUGGUGAAAGCCUCUCGCUUAACGAGAGAACUGCCAUGGAUACUGCAAGGCUUGAGUCCAGACGAGGUUGGCGGAAUGGAUGGUGUAGCGGUGAAAUGCAUAGAUACCAUCCAGAACCCCGAUUGCGUAGGCAGCUGACUAGGCUGGUACUGACACUGAGGCACGAAAGCGUGGGGAGCGAAC